UGCCCAUUCUGGCGUGCCCUGUUGCCGCGAGAAUCCUGCGGAAACCGCGCUCUAAGUUUCUGGGGCGGAUGAGCUGGCUUUCAGGCCCAACCUCGCGAGAGUUGGACCUGGUGUGCCUGAGACUACUAUAGCGGCGGGACUUUCUCUGACUUAGUGGCAGACAUCCUGUUUCCUUUUAACGACAUUGAGCUUCUACCUGUGUGAGGAUCACUGGUAGACACUACAGUGAUUGGAAACGGGUGCACCAUUGCAGUGGCUGACAGCUUGGUGGUGGGCAGCCUGUUUCUCUCUUUCCUGAGCUCCCUCUGGGCUGAACAGUGGCUGAUGGCUUGACGGCUGCAGUAUCACGUGUUUGCUGAUGUGGCAAGUGACAUUUUACAUUCACAGACAUGUGCAUAAAAUGUUACGAGCACAGAUGAGGGCAAGAUUGGCUCUUUCUGGAGGAGCUGGAAAAGCUUCAUCUCAUUUCAACUGUUCAACUUGGAUGGUUUUUAUUCAGCUUUGUAUCACCCAUGGUAAAUGUUGAGGUACAACAGAGCAUGACCUUUGAAGUUAGACUUGGUUUUCUCUCUUGAUUUCCUUUCUGUCUUUCUUUUUUUUUUUUGCCAUCAUGCCACAAGACUUGCUGAUCGAACCUGGGGCCAGGCAGUUAAAGCACUGAGUCCUAAUCACUGAACCGCCAGGGAAUUCCCCAUAUCUGGUUUGUAGUACUUGCUUUUCCACUUAAUUGACAGCAGUCCUUGAACAUAUUAACAUCUUUGAGCCUCAAUUUCCUUACCUGUAAAAUAGUAAUAACAUCAACUACAUGAAACCAUUAUGAAGAUUAGAGUAUAUUAUAAAACAUAUAAAACUGUGGCACACACAUUUGAACAAAUCCAACAUGCUAUUUUAUGUACUACUAAGAAAGAAAAUAACUAAGAAAACCAUGAUUGUAAGAUGCAUCUCAUCCAGAGGUGUUAAAAUGUAAUAAAAAGCAUUUAAAUUA